GACGAACGCUGGCGGCGUGCUUAACACAUGCAAGUCGAACGGAAAGGCCCUGCUUGCAGGGUGCUCGAGUGGCGAACGGGUGAGUAACACGUGGGUGAUCUGCCCCUUACUUUGGGAUAAGCCUGGGAAACUGGGUCUAAUACUGGAUAGGACCAUGCUGUAGGUGGUGUGGUGGAAAGAUUAGUUUCGGUAAGGGAUGAGCUCGCGGCCUAUCAGCUUGUUGGUGGGGUAAUGGCCUACCAAGGCGUCGACGGGUAGCAGGCCUGAGAGGGUGGACGGCCACAUUGGGACUGAGAUACGGCCCAGACUCCUACGGGAGGCAGCAGUGGGGAAUAUUGCACAAUGGGCGCAAGCCUGAUGCAGCGACGCCGCGUGGGGGAUGACGGCCUUCGGGUUGUAAACUCCUUUCAGCCAUGACGAAGCCCUUGUGGUGACGGUAGUGGUAGAAGAAGCACCGGCUAACUACGUG
rnacentral:rRNA from 1 species